UACAGAGGGUGCGAGCGUUAAUCGGAAUUACUGGGCGUAAAGCGUGCGUAGGUGGUUUGUUAAGUCUGCUGUGAAAGCCCUGGGCUCAACCUGGGAAUGGCGGUGGAUACUGACAAGCUAGAGUGCGGUAGAGGAGGGUGGAAUUCCCGGUGUAGCGGUGAAAUGCGUAGAGAUCGGGAGGAACAUCAGUGGCGAAGGCGGCCCUCUGGACCAGCACUGACGCUGAGGCACGAAAGCGUGGGGAGCAAACAGG
rnacentral:rRNA from 1 species